CAUACGGCUCUUCUGUUCGCUGUAGAAACAGAGCGAAAAUGGCGUAGGGUGGAAGGGUUGCGGAGACGGGGGACGAGCUUCUCCACCCCGGGAGCCGGGGAGGGAGAAAGAAAGAGACCUGUUUUAUCGGUUUAUUCUUGUGUUAAUGUAUCCUCGCUCCAUACCUCUUAACGGAAGCCGUCUCGUGUCCAGCUGCGGAGCCGUGAACGCGUCUCCGCAGCAGCAGGAACCCCGCUGGCUUUUGUUUACGGCGGUGAGCUGCAGCAGCAGCUCGGACCCCGGUGGAAAUGCCUCUGCAUCGUUUCAGAGCUCGCACCAAGGAUGGCUUUUCCACUCAAUGCAAUUGUGAAACCAGCCGAAGCCCAGAACGGGGGAAUGUCCUCCUUCAUGUCGCCGCUAUCAGCACACCUCCAACUUCCACGGCCUUCCUCGGUGAGGUAAACGAAGAAGAGUGGUUGUGAAGAUGACCUCUUUUGGGCUUUUGGGACACGGGUGUUCUCCUCCCUGCUGUUUCUGGGACAUUGGCCCCGUCUCCUUCACAGCACCCCCCCCCCCCCCUCCCCCCCUCCUUCCUGAUUUCUGCCACGUGAUCAUCGGUCAGGAUACUGCCGUGAUUAUGAGCUAGUCUGACUUCCAUCACGCCCACUCGCACCACGUCUCCAUGCACCCAAAGGCUGCUCUUCCCGGGGACAAAGUUUGCUUAAAUGCUGGGCACUCUCAGUUCUCCGUGUGAUGGACCGAAAGUCUCCAUUAUUUAGGCAUUGCAUUCAGAUCUGGGUUGGACUGUAAUCCGGCUGCAUGUAAACCUAGUUGCUGAUUCUUCCUGAAUACUGAAAAAAACAAAAAGAUCCCCACCUGCUCUGUAAUUUGAUUUAAAGCAGUCUGAUAAUGAACAAACUGUCUCCUGGGAACAGAGUAAAGACACAAUAAACUGUAGCAAAGAUUGAGCCCUGUGAUUAAAUUCAAAUCAUAGGGUGUUUUAUUCAUUCUUUUUUUUUCUUCACUACCUCAUUGCCGUAACAGGUGUGAUCAGUACAAGUAACGUAAUGUUUGUCAAGAGCCACAGCAGCUAAACCUUGUUCCCGGAUUCAUUUAGUUUUCGAGGGUUGCUAUGCAAGGUUAUCAAGCCGAGCAGCCCCUGAAGCACAUGAUGCCUUCUGUCAUUUACUGUAACUACCACCAUUAUGAGGGCAGCGUUGUCUAACUGUGGUGUCCUAUGCAUCGGUUCUAAAGGAAGGUGACAUUGCAGUAGUUUUACUGCGCGCUCUCCUUCUUCUGCAUUUCAUGGAAGAAUUGUCAAUAUUCCCUUGUAACUUUAUCCUUGAUAUUGAAAGCUGGCAGUGUUUUUAAAGUCUUUAAUUGGGAAAGUUUUCUUCCCCAACUGUUUUCUUAAUUUUUACCUUUGUCUUUCUGCACCUCGACUUACUUUGUUUUCUGUGGCAGCUUUGUCCUAUUAUUCUUUCUCCUUUAACUUGGGCUCCUAUGACACGGAUUACCAGGACAUAAUUCAAACGCUGCAGGCUGAGACAGAACUUGGUUCCUGAUGUGUAGGGCUGGGUUUUAGCUUUAAUAUCAUCUUUCAUUGGAAUCAUUGAAAUCAUUUGUCAGAAUCGCAUUGUCUAAAUAGAUGAUACUAAGCACAUAGUCACUCAAAUUGUUUGGAAAAUCGCACUAUUUUUCACCACGGUUCUCAAUUAGAAGAUCAAUUGUUAUUAAUUUGUCAAGUAUUUCACCCACACCAGAGUAUACAGAACCAUGUUAUUUCAUAAGGACUAUUCAUCCAUUGUAUUGCCAGAAAGAACAUGCUGCAUUAUGUUGUAUAUUGUUAUUGAGAAAUUAAUUUACUUUUAUCAAAAGUGAGUCAGUCGUAUCAAGAACAUAAUGCUCUGUCUUUGCCUGCUGGCAGUAAUCCUUUGAUUCCUACCGUGGUUUGUCCUGAGUGAAAGGGAAACCCUGGUUUCAUUUCUUCAACUUUUAUUUUCCUUCAUUUUUAUAUGAAAAGAAAGACAGAAAAAAAAUGACAUUUACCGGGAUUCGUGCAAUAUUUGAUCUUGACUGUCAUGUUGUUGACCAAACUGUAUAUUGUAUAAACAAGUGACCAGUUGUUUGAAAGCAACAAAAUCACCAAUGUCUUCCAUUAAGAUAUGUAUAGACUCACGUGCAUUAGCUUAUUUAGCGGGACUGUGGUGCCAACUUUGUAGUAACCAUGCAUGACCAGUAGUGAUGCUUGCUUCAUGAAAAAUAGUCUAUUUCUAAGCAAAGCUGGAGCUCAAAACUGUGUAAAACCAUUUCAGUCAUUUAAAUAGUGGCAGAUUGACGUACUAACCCCUUUUGAUUGAACCAUAUUUAGACUUGGUCUUAAACCGAUGGUACCUUUUAUCCAAUCUUUAGGUUAUGGAUCAGGAUAUGCAGUUUAUAAGCAUUCAUUAUAUUAUGUAUAGGAACCACUGUAGGGUUUCAGAUUGUUACAUUUAAGGACUCUCAAGCACUAAACGAUCAACAAGAACGAUUGAAAGUAAUUAUGUGUCUGUCAAAUAGCUCCCAAAAAAUAUCAAAUCUAAAAAUGUGACAUUGAUAGAACCCUCCAGAGAAUUGUUCCAUUAUAUAAGAAUGGUGUGUUAAUCUUAAAUUUGGAUAUCAUUUGUUUUGGGGUGCGACGUUAUGUUUGAGUCUUAGAAUCAAGAUGUCAUCGCGUCAUUGUAUUGUACAUAAUACAUCAUAGUUUUGAGAUUCAGAGCAAGAACUUUGAAUCAUGACAUUUUAUUGGACUUCAGAUUUAGAAGCAUUAACCUACAAUUAUGCAUGAGUUUAGUGGCAGGGUGUAAGUGUGGGACCCUGUAGCGUCCUCCCCUCUCCUUUUAUGCCCACGCGCGGUAGCGAUCCUUUAGUCACUUCUUUUGGGAGCCGUCUAAUAUUUGGCUUUAGAAUACAGUAUUACUUCUGAAGGUUUGGGAUACUUUCUGCAGGACAAAGUGUUCUUGAGGACAGCUGUAGGAUCAUGUCAAAGUCAACACCAAAACCAUAAUAUAAACUUAUCGGUACACGAGAGACACUUUAAAUUUCAGACCUUGUAGCAUCUUUACCUCCACAUAACCCCGUCCUUGCUGGAUGAACUCGAGCACUUUCUCUCUGUGUGUAAUAACGUCGUCUUCACCAUCCCCUCUUGAAUACUGUGUUCUAAAAACUCUCUAAUGCUCUCUAGUUGGGAUUUAUAAUCACAAUUUAUAAACCAGUAGCAACAUGAAUAUGUGGGUUUAAAAAAGAAAUAUGCAUGACGUGGCCGAAUAACGAAUGAUUUGUAUUGCAUGCAAUAAUCCAACUUUGUAAUGUGAAUGAGUGUAAUUAUGAAAUGUUUAUAUCAGAUGUUCUGUGACAAGGUGACAACCCGGGGCGGUUGUUGGACACAAUGGCAUGUUGAAGUAGCAUCGAGCACCACUUGUGGUUUUACAGAGUAAAUUCCAUCCCCGUAAUGGAGAGAGGUGUGUGUGUGUGUGUACACGUGUACGUGUGUGUGUGUGUGUACGUGUCCAACGUGACCGGGGAAGUACAACCGCCCCGCACCUUUGCUCCCAUGGGGAAAAAAGAAAAACUAUACAAAAGCUUCAGUUAAAUGAUUAAUGACAUCACUUUGUUGGUUUUUCCACUGAAGGGGUGAACUGUGUAGAAACUAUGCACUCCAGAGGGAGGAGACGGGCAUGCUUAUAACGUGUGAACCUCUUGUCUGGUUUUGUAUUAACUAAAAACUAAGAAUCUGUAUCAGAAAUUCAGCAAUAAAAUGCAGCAUGGCGCCAAUCGGA